rnacentral:rRNA from 1 species
UGGGGAAUUUUGGACAAUGGGCGAAAGCCUGAUCCAGCAAUGCCGCGUGUGUGAAGAAGGCCUUCGGGUUGUAAAGCGCUUUUGUCCGGAAAGAAAUCCUUGGCUCUAAUACAGUCGGGGGAUGACGGUACCGGAAGAAUAAGCACCGGCUAACUACGUGCCAGCAGCCGCGGUAAUACGUAGGGUGCAAGCGUUAAUCGGAAUUACUGGGCGUAAAGCGUGCGCAGGCGGUUUGCUAAGACCGAUGUGAAAUCCCCGGGCUCAACCUGGGAACUGCAUUGGUGACUGGCAGGCUAGAGUAUGGCAGAGGGGGGUAGAAUUCCACGUGUAGCAGUGAAAUGCGUAGAGAUGUGGAGGAAUACCGAUGGCGAAGGCAGCCCCCUGGGCCAAUACUGACGCUCAUGCACGAAAGCGUGGGGAGCAAACAGGAUUAGAUACCCUGGUAGUCCACGCCCUAAACGAUGUCAACUAGUUGUUGGGGGAUUCAUUUCCUUAGUAACGUAGCUAACGCGUGAAGUUGACCGCCUGGGGAGUACGGUCGCAAG